UACAGAGGGGGCAAGCGUUGUUCGGAAUUAUUGGGCGUAAAGCGCGUGUAGGCGGCUUUGCAAGUCGGGUGUGAAAGCCCUCAGCUUAACUGAGGAAGUGCGCCCGAAACUGCUUGGCUUGAGUACCGGAGAGGAUGGCGGAAUUCCCCAAGUAGAGGUGAAAUUCGUAGAUAUGGGGAGGAACACCGGUGGCGAAGGCGGCCAUCUGGACGGAUACUGACGCUGGGACGCGAAAGCGUGGGUAGCAAACAGG
rnacentral:rRNA from 1 species